AAACUCACAGUCAAGAUUCAGCCACGAAAAGUGUACAAGAAAUACACACAUAAGAUAAACGUAUCCAGCCAAACAAUUAUAAACACAAGGCAGGGAAGACGCACACGAAUACAGAGGGACAUACAUAAAGGCAAACGUACACAACACGAUGCAAAAAAUCUCAUCAGCAUCUUUCGAUGUUCUCGCAUAUUUUCAGUAGAAUAUAAAUUGGAUCGACAGACAGACGUGCCGAACAGAGCUUCAUAGCGAAUAUUACUUGGAAAAUACGUCACUCUUUAUCAUUUUGCAUCCUGUUCCUUAGUGCAAUUGAAGCCAAGAGAGAUCAACAAUAUAAAUAUUAGAGUCACUUCUUGCGUGACUGGAAAAACAUUUUCUCGUGGAACACAAUCGGUGAUAGUAAAAGGAACAUCAUAUCGACGAUGGCAGAAAAAAACGAGAAUUGGAUAAUGAGAUUUUUUACAAUGAAAACUAACGUUGCACAAUGUAGAUUAUGUGCCUAUAAGAAAUUACUAUUUAAAUCCGUAAGAUGUAUCUGUCAGCAUAUAAGUGAUACACAUAACUCUGACUGGACAAAAUCUAUGAAGCGAUCAACUAUCCCCUGGCCUCAUAUGAUUUGGCGUUACUUCUACAUAAGCGAUGAUGGCGAUGAGGUCUCUGCAAAAUGUCUUAAAGAUUGUGAAGUAAAGUUUCCAUUCGAUCGAAUUAAGAUGCUAGAAAUGCAAGUACAUUUCGUAGGAACCCAUAUCAAAACUCGCAAUAUAAACAUAGAUAAAUGGAUAUCACCAUAUUAUAAAAUAAAAUCCCGUAAUAGCAGGAAUAGACCAUUAGAGAAACAAUGCAAAGAACCUAAUUGCAAUUGGGUACAACACCCAUACAUGCCGUAUGCAUGUUUAUUUGGGCAUUUGGUUCUUGAUCAUAAAUUUAAUCCUCACCAAUCAAUAAGGACGGGAAGAGAAGCUGCAAAAAAUUUCGUUUCACCAGAACGCCCUAAUGAAGCUUAAUGAAAAGUUCAACAACAUGGACGCAGGUUUCGAAAGAAAUGAGGCUAACGUAUUAUCAUGGACGUGGACAAUAAAAUAAAAUAAGAAAUUCAUAUUUUGACUUUAUCGCUUUA